rnacentral:misc_RNA from 1 species
UUUUUUUUUUUUUUUUUUGUGGGAAUUUUCCAUGCAGGAGUAUAAAUAGUUCUAGGACAACAGAAAAUACCAAAAUUAUAUAAUUAUUUUCUAAGACUUGAUAAUGGAUGAGUAUUUAGUUUCAGUCUAAAGAGAUGCAUGGCAGUGUUAAAUUUUCCCCCCCAUCAUCGUCAUCCUCAUUCUCUUAAUCUACUAUUGCCACAACUCAGAUUACUAUUUGUAGCUAUGCAACAGAAUUGAAAGUUCCUGCUUUUUCUAUUUACCCAUUCCAUCCUAGCAUUACACCAACACAAAGAAAAACCCCAAGGCCCACAUUUUUUUCCAACUCUCUCUACUGAUAAAACCACUAAAAUGAAAUCCUAAACCUUAAUAUUUAGUGACCCACACAGAUACUUGUAGACUUAGCUCUUUCUAUUCUUUAAACUUUUGCUACCAAACUUAACCAUUCUCCAGCCAUAUUGAGACCCUAAACUAUUUACACAAUUUGCAUCAGUUUACAACCCUAAAAUUCUAAAUUUAACAAAUCCUAGCCCAUUACAUAACAUACAAGGUUAAUUUUCACCUAUCUGACCUACAUUAUCCCAUACCUUUCCUCAUGAGGGGGGGCAGA